rnacentral:lncRNA from 1 species
UUUUACCUAGAUUUUUGAAGAGCCUACGCAGCAGAUUUCCAAAGGUAAAUAGUUAAAUCUAGAGUCUGAAAUAAUAGCAACUAUGACUCUGAUUGCAGAUUCGAACGAGGUUGAAAAAUUGAACGGCGACGUGCAAACGGAGGAGGAGGAGGAGAAAGCGCGGGUGAGCCUCAUGAUCAAAUUCAACCACCGCGGUUCCCUUUCGUCGUUGGACAGGGACAAGAUGUACUCAAGUCUGAGCAGGCGGAGCAGCGCCAACAUCGAGCUCAACAGCAAGACGCUGCCGCCCAUCAUGAAGAACUCCUCCAAGCCGGAGUCUAUCAACGCCCUCAUAGAAACCUACAAUCUCCAGAAGAAGUCUCCGCUACAGAUUUCAAGGAAAAUUAGCAAGGUUCAUGAAGAGAAUGAGGUUCUUGCUGCUGAAACAAAUUCUCAACUAUCUCUGAAUCUAACUCAUAGUAAUAGCACUACCCCAGUGCCUCAGCUCCUGGUAGAUGAAUCUCGGCCUCGCAGCGAUUCAAUUCAAGAAGAAUGA